rnacentral:tRNA from 1 species
GAGGGUAUGACUCAGUGGUAGAGCACAUGCUUAGCAUGCACGAGGUCCUGGGUUCAAUCCCCAGUACCUCCA